CAGAUUUGAUCAUGGCUCAGGAUGAACGCUAGCGGCAGGCUUAACACAUGCAAGUCGAGGGGCAGCGGGGUGUAGCAAUACACUGCCGGCGACCGGCGCACGGGUGCGUAACGCGUAUGCAACCUACCCAUAACAGGGGCAUAACACUGAGAAAUUGGUACUAAUUCCCCAUAACAUUCGAAGAGGCAUCUCUUUGGGUUGAAAACUCCGGUGGUUAUGGAUGGGCAUGCGUUGUAUUAGCUUA
rnacentral:rRNA from 1 species